GCGUGGCAUGGGCGUGGCCUGCGCGCCGUGGGGCUGCGGCGGCGCUGCCGGGCGUGUGCGCAAGGAGCGGGCGCGGAGCCGGCGGGCGGGCGGAGGAUAGCGCGGGCGCGGCACCUGCGGGCCCGAGGGUCUGGCUGUCGCAGCGCCGGGCCGCCCCGACUCCGAGCUGCUGCUGAGAUGAGUGCAGUGUCGCAGCCCCAGGCUGCUCCCAGCCCGCUGGAGAAGUCGCCCAGCACGGCGAUCCUGUGCAACACGUGUGGAAAUGUGUGCAAGGGCGAGGUGCUGCGGGUGCAGGACAAGUACUUCCACAUCAAGUGCUUCGUCUGUAAAGCAUGUGGCUGCGACCUGGCCGAGGGCGGCUUCUUCGUGCGGCAGGGCGAGUACAUCUGCACGCUGGACUACCAGAGGCUCUAUGGCACCCGCUGCUUCAGCUGCGACCAGUUCAUUGAGGGUGAGGUGGUGUCGGCGCUGGGCAAGACCUACCACCCCGACUGCUUCGUGUGUGCCGUCUGCCGGCUGCCCUUCCCCCCCGGGGACCGAGUGACCUUCAACGGGAAGGAAUGCAUGUGCCAGAAGUGUUCCCUGCCUGUAUCAGUGGGCAGCAGCGCACACCUGUCCCAGGGCCUCCGAAGUUGUGGGGGCUGCGGCACAGAAAUCAAGAACGGCCAGGCCCUGGUAGCCUUGGACAAGCACUGGCACUUGGGCUGUUUUAAGUGCAAGAGCUGUGGGAAGCUCCUGAACGCCGAGUACAUCAGCAAGGAUGGGCUGCCCUACUGCGAAGCCGACUAUCACGCCAAGUUCGGCAUCCGCUGUGACAGCUGUGAGAAAUACAUCACAGGGCGUGUGCUGGAGGCCGGAGAGAAGCACUACCACCCUUCCUGCGCGCUAUGUGUCAGGUGCGGCCAGAUGUUUGCAGAAGGCGAAGAGAUGUAUCUUCAAGGUUCCUCCAUCUGGCAUCCGGCGUGUCGACAAGCAGCCAGAACUGAAGACAGAAACAAGGAAACCAGAACUUCCUCAGAGAGCAUCAUUUCUGUCCCUGCUUCCAGCACCUCAGGGUCUCCGAGCCGUGUGAUUUAUGCCAAGCUUGGUGGUGAGAUCCUGGACUACAGGGACUUGGCAGCCCUUCCUAAAAGUAAGGCCAUCUAUGACAUCGACCGCCCCGACAUGAUCUCCUACUCACCCUACAUCAGCCACUCUGCAGGGGACAGGCAGAGCUACGGCGAGUCCCCUCAGUUGCUCUCGCCAACGCCGACCGAGGGGGAUCAGGAUGACCGGUCCUACAAGCAGUGCCGGACCUCCAGCCCAAGCUCCACUGGGUCGGUCAGCCUCGGGCGCUACACUCCGACCUCACGGUCACCACAGCACUACAGCCGUCCAGCUGGUACUGUGAGUGUGGGUACCAGUAGCUGCCUCUCCCUGUCCCAACACCCAAGCCCUACAUCCGUGUUCAGACAUCAUUACAUCCCCUACUUCCGAGGCAGUGAAAGUGGCCGGAGCACCCCCAGCCUCUCCGUGCUCUCUGACAGCAAGCCGCCCCCCUCCACCUACCAGCAGGCACCUCGCCACUUCCACGUCCCAGACACUGGCGUAAAAGAUAACAUCUAUAGGAAACCCCCUAUCUACAGACAGCAUGGUCCUGUAGCCCAAUCCCAAAUUUCCAAGCUCUCUGGCCUGGUAUCAGUCUUGUCCUUGGUGGUGCAGGAGGCAGGGUACGGCAAAAGACAGACGGGCCCGAGCCCGCCGCCCGCUGCAGCUGCCAGGCGAUCCGAUGGGGAGGACGGAAGCUUGGACCAGGAUAACAGGAAGCAGAAGAGCAGCUGGCUGAUGCUCAAGGGGGAUGCAGACACAAGGACCAAUUCUCCAGACCUGGACACCCAGUCCUUGUCCCACAGCAGCGGGACCGACAGAGACCCUCUCCAAAGGAUGGCAGGGGACAGCUUUCACUCACGAUUCCCCUAUUCCAAAUCUGACCCUCUCCCAGGACAUGGAAAGAAUGGCUUGGACCAGCGGAAUGCCAAUCUGGCCCCCUGUGGAGCAGACCCGGAUGCCAGCUGGGGCAUGCGAGAAUACAAGGUAAGCGGGGCCGCUCCCACCCUGACCUCCGUGCCGCGCCACACCUGCCCAGGUUAAAAGUCCUUUCUGUUGUGCUUUCCCUAUGAAAUGUGUGUGUCAGGUGCAGACGCAAGUAUGUAUUCUCGGUGACCUUCUGCUCAGUUCUUUGGUGCCAGCACACACUUGCUUCGUGAGGUGACCCUGUGGUUUCCUCCCCCAACAGAUCUAUCCGUAUGACUCCCUCAUCGUCACAAACCGAAUUCGCGUGAAACUGCCCAAAGACGUGGACCGGACGAGACUGGAGAGACACUUGUCGCCCGAGGAGUUCCAGGAAGUGUUUGGGAUGAGCGUGGAGGAGUUUGACCGCCUGGCCCUCUGGAAGAGGAAUGACCUUAAGAAGAAAGCCCUGUUGUUCUGACGGCUGCCAGCCUGCCCCACUGGUGUGUGCCGGGUGCCGAGGCGAGGGGCCCCUGGCGAGAACCGCACACACCCCUCCCACGCACCUUGCUCUGGCUUCUCUGUGUCGAUGGGGUGGGCGGGAGGGGGUCCCCCAGCAGGUGCGGCCCCUGCACCUGCCAGCGACACUCCUGCCGGUAGUUUAGGGCCGAGACGGCUAGCUUCACACCACCCUUCCCCGCUGUGGCUUGGUGUCAGGGAGAGGCUGCAGAGUGGCUGUCAGGCAUCAGAUGGAGCACACAGGUGGCUGCAGCCCAGCCCACCUUCCCAGCAUUCUCGAGGUGCCCUGGCCCCGGUGCUAGGCACGUGGGGGACAGAGGUGGCCGGAACAUGAGCUGUGAGGCUUGUUGAUGACGGGUGCUGACACCAUCAUCGGGGGUGGGCACACGGCCCUUCGGAGCCUGGGCAGCCUGGCCUCACAGGCAGACACGCAGACAGGGCAGUGAGCGUCUGGGACAGUGCCAAGAGUGGGGUGUGUGAUUUUUGCAGGCGUCUGUGAUGGGUCUCUUUAGGCACAAAUGUCAACAAGGGACAAGACAGGGCACCUUCCGCCAGCGCCCCUCCAUGCGCUGCGUUCCUCUUCCAGAUCGCCCCCUAGAUGCCUACACAAUAUCUUUAAAGUAACACAGAAGUUUUUAUUUUAUUAAAAAGUAUAGCCUACUUAAACGCGAGAUGACAUAUAUAGAGUUUAAUUUUACGGUCCCUCCGCAGGGGAGCGGCCUCCAGCCUUAUUCUCCACCGCUCGGAUCGGUGUGGUUUCAGUCUGUUGUUGGUGUGGUCCUCAUACACAGAGCUCCUUGUCUAGUUUCUUUUCUUUUUCUUUUUUCUUUUUCUCGUCACACAGGUAACCUUAAAGACAGACCCCUCUAAAGAACGCUUUGUAAAUACAUGGGAGGUGUAGCCACCACUGUUUUCCUUGCUGUUAUUUUUCCAAGUCUUGGGGAGAAAACAUCCUCCUCUGAUGGCCAAAGCCCUGGAAUCAAGGGUUUCCACGUACCCCGCCUAAUACCCGACGUAGCUCUUGAUGCACCGUCCUUGUGCUGUGGCUGGCGGUGUCUCAGCCUGAAACAUAAACCCCACACGCCCCAGGAGCGAUGUGCUCCCUGAAACAGACAACCACACGCUAUUGGGGAGAGAAGGAUGGAGAUAGGAUGGAGAUGUGGCUCUUCUCAUCUUUGAAGCCAGCAGGGCAUCCGGGAGCAGGAGGCUGGCCGGGCUCCCCAAGCGAAGGCGUUGGUGUCUGUCAUUAGGUGUGUGUUAGGGUUCAGCGCCGGCCGUCACAGGAUGCUGAUAAGCGCGCUGAGAGGUGGAUGAAACACCAGAGUCUGUUUCCCCAUCCGCAGUGGGUGUUGCCUCUUUGUGUGUCCCGAUGUUCCCGCCUGUGAGUCGGCCUUACUCCGUUUCCUUAGCGCCCAUGACACGCCAAGUCCCGUUUCGCACUCGGCUUCUCACCCGCCUGGUUCGGCUAGGGAGGGGGAGUUUUUAGCACCUAAUAUGCUUCCUGCCAUUGCGCAAUCUGAGCCUGAGCAACUGGAAACCCCCAUUUCUCAUUAGUGCAAUGUCAUAUCUGAUCCCAGGAAGCCUGGAAAAUAAAAGACGAUGCAUUAUAACUUGCGGAAGUACAAGAUCACUUGUUAUGAACUUGUGUGAUUUUAAAGGCAAGGCCCCUUCUGCAAGCAGUGCUUGCGGAGGGCACCCGUUCCAGGCUCAAUGCAGGGUCUGCGCAUGGGGCAGGUGAGGCCUUGGGGAGGGGCCAAGUGUCUGCAUUAGGGCCCUGUAGGACAUUCCGCAGAGACAGCUUGCACAGACACAUUCCUGGGCCCUCACCAGGGCCAGGCCCUCUGCUGAUGGCAGUGAUGAGGGAAACCUGAUAGGCACCUGCCCCGGAGGCUGGGGAGACAAGGGCAGCCAGGCUGAUCGCUGCUCUGUGGAGCUGGCCCCAGGGAGGUCCCAAAUACACCCCUAGGUCAGGGGAGGCUUUCUGGGCAAGAUGCUGCCCAAACUAAGUCUUGAUAAAUGGGAGGUAAGGGAAUAAAUACCUCCCCAGUAAGGGAAGGGCAUCCCGGGCAGCUGGAACAGCAGUAGUGGAGGCGCUGAGGCUGGAAACAGCCUCCCAGGUUCUGGAAAAUUCGGUGGCUGGUUAUGGCUGAGCACAGGGCCAAGGAAAAGGGUGGAAGGAAAGUGACUGCAGGCAGGGCUCCCACGGGAGAUUAAACAGUGCCCUGCUGGGAUUAAACAUCUCAUCAUCUCUAAUCUUAUUCCAAUGACAUUCAUAAUUCUUUUGAACUUUGGGUCUUCCCCCAAAAAGCUUGUCCAUACACACAACCUGCCAUCACCGUCUACCUAGUUACACACUCAGAAAUCAGCAUUCUCCUUGGUUUCUCCCCACGGCCCCAAGGACAGCUGUCAGCAAGCCCUGGUAAGUGCCGCCUCCCAUGCAUAGACCUACAGCUCUCCACCUGCACAGACACCACCGUGGAAUUAUCCAGUGGGACAUGCUGAGAACAGGAGGUGGCACUCUGACCCAUGACCCUGGACACAGGUAUAAGCCUGGUCUGGCCCUGGCAGCCAGAACGUGCAGGCACCCUGGCCACACUCAGGCCCCUCCCCUACUAUAGCACAGCCUUCCUCUGCCAUCUGCUCCCACACUUGCCCCUGGGCAAAUCUUGUCCACCCAACGCCAGAGUGAUGCUUUGAAAACAUCGGUCAGAUCACACCAAGCUCCCAGCGGCCUUCUUCCGUGGCCUCAAGAGCCAGGACUUAUGUGACCCCCACUUGCCAUUCCCGUCCCCCCCAGCCCCUGUGUUUGUCCCCGUGGUCACAGCCCCAAACUGUGGCUCUCUCUGAGUUCUGCAGACACCAAGCCUUCCGGCUUUCACCCAUGAUCUCCCUCCUGGGGGAGCUCUGCUGCUUCUCCACACAGGCCCCUCCCUUCCUUCUCAGUUCGACUCAGAAGCUCCCCUGUCACACAGGGCCCUCUGCUGACUUUCCAAAUUGCCACCCAUCCCCACGCUCCUCACGGUACCUCCUCAUGCCCUCUGUGUAUCAGCAGUUUCUUCUAUUUUAUUUUAUUUAUGUAUUUAUUUGAGAGAGUCUCGCUCUGUCACCCAGCCUUGAGUGCAAUGACACGAUCUCCACUCACUGCAACCUCCACCUCCCAGGUUCAAACGAUUCUCCUGCCUCAGCCUUCCGAGUAGCUGGGAUUACAGGCAUGCACCACCACACCUGGCUAAUUUUUUGUAUUUUCGGAGAUAUGGGUUUCACCAUGUUGGCCAGGAAUGGUCUGGAACUCCUGACCUCAGGUGAUCCUCCUUCCUCAGCCUCCCAAAGUGCUGGGAUUACAGAUGUGAGCCACCGCGCCCGGCCCACAGUUUCUUCUUUCUCGCUUUAUUGACCGUUUCCCUCCAUCAAACCCUAAGCCCGAGAGGACUGACGAUUUUGUAACCACUGUCUAUGAACUGGGAAUAUCUUUGGAGUAUUUCGUAGCAAGGCUGGAGUCCAUCUGGUUUCUGUGCUUUCCCCAAAGAGUCUUAUGGCGUUCGUGCUUCUAGAAUGGCACCGUCCUAUCACACUGCCUGCGAUGACGAGGACAUUCUACAUCCACACUGUCCAACACGGCAGCCACCAGCGCUUGAAAUGCAGCCAACGCGAGUGGAACGGAGAUUUCAAUGUAACUCAUUUAGAGUUAAGGAGCCACGUGUGGCUACUGGCUGCAUACUAGACAGUGCAGCACCCUGAGGAUUAGAAACUGCUGCUGCCCUAAGCUGAGACAUGCAUGUCCACAGGCCUUGGGAUCUGUCACUCUUGUCUCGCAACAAGUGUUCAUUGGUGCCUGGUCUAUAGGAUCAAUUGAGAAUGCACUUGCUGAGCAUGCAUCUGUGCCUGGCACUGUCCUGGGUGCAGAGGUGUGCUUGGCACAGUUCUUGCCCUCCAGGCUCAUGACGUCUGCCAUCUGAAUCUCAGAGCCCCAGGUUCUAAGCCGGUUUGGCUCAGUCUUCCAUGCCAGUCUUCAUGUCUGACGGUGGCACCAACCUUCCCGGAUCAGCACCAACCUGGGCCUGUGUGAGGAACUCCCGGGAGAGAUGGGCAGGGAGACAUCGGUGCCUGCAGGGCCUCCAUCCUCAGCCCUUCUUCCCAGGGCAGCUGUGCAUUCCAAGCUACUUAAAUCUGAACCAAAAGCUUCAGAAUUCACUGCAGCCAGGCAAGAGAACGUGACAAAUCUCACACGGGUCUUAGUGUUUGGUUCAAAAGUGACACAUCUCACCUCUAGUGGUUGGAACUAGUCACAUGACCCUGCCCAGCUGCAAAAGGGUCUAGGGAGCACAGGCAUUCGUCUGUCUAAGAAGAGGGAGGAUGAAAACCAGGAGCAAGCCUUACCAACUACAGCCGAGGCUACACGGGUAUCUUCUCUUCCCCAAGUCCAAGCCCCAGUGCCUUCGGUGGCUCUUGGUGUGAACUCACUUGGAGCCCUCCCCUGCCCUGGCCACCGUCCUCUGUGGGUGAGCCAUUCACUUAUUCAUCCACGCAGAUCUGCACGCUGGCUCCAGCCUGGCCCCCAUACCCCCCGAGUCUCUGCCGUGUGCAGUGCCCCCUCCUGGAGGGCUUUCACCCACACAGCACCAUGUUCUCCUCUGUGACCUGCUGUCCCCAGCACAGGUGAUCAGAUCAAGGAUGGCCCCUGAGCCAUCGGCAGAGUGGAUCCCUAGUGGCCCAGGGCAACGGCUGUGCCCCAUGGAGAGACUUUGCUCUAUGUGGACAUUGAUCUACCCAAUCCGAAGCCCUCCCAGGGAGGUCAUGAAACACUCAGGGAGUUGAUGGGGGGUGGGCAAGGCAGGGAACACUCAGCCAGAAGCCUGCGCCAGCAGAGGCCAUGGGUAAAGAGAAGCGGAAGGAGAGAUGCUCACCAGGAGAGGAGGAAGAGGGGAGCCCAGAGGGCGUCAGGGCUGGCAGAGUCUGGUGGACUUUGCUGACCACUUGGGCUGCACUUAAGCGCAUCCUGCCUCCCCUCUGGGUUCUUUUUUUUUUUUUUUUUUUUUGAGAUGGAAUCUUGCUCUGUCGCCCAGGCUGGAGUGCAGUGGCGUGAUCUCAGCUCACUGCAAGCUCCACCUCCCAGGUUCAUGCCAUCCUUCUGCCUCAGCCUCCCAAGUAGCUGGGACUACAGGCACCUGCCACCACGCCCGGCUAAUUUUUUGUAUUUUUAGUAGAGACGGGGUUUCACCGUGUUAGCCAGGAUGGUCUCGAUCUCCUGACCUCAUGAUCCGCCCACCUCGGCCUCUCAAAGUGCUGGGAUUACAGGCGUAAGCCACCGUGCCCGGCCUUUUUUUUUUUUUCUUUCUUUCUGAGACAGAGUUUCGCUGUUGUCACACAGGCUGCAGUGCAAUGGUGAGAUCUUGGCUCACUGCAACCUCUUCCUCCCUGGUUCAAGUGAUUCUCUUGCCUGAGCCUCCCAAGUAGCUGGAACUACAGUCUUGAGACACCAUGCCCAGCUAAUUUUUUGUAUUUUUCAUAGAGAUGGGGUUUCACCAUGUUGGCCAGGCUGGCCUCAAACUCCUGACCUCAGGCGAUUCACCCACCUCAGCCUCCCAAAGUGCUGGGAUUACAGGUGUGAGCCACCGCACCUGGCCCCCUCUGGGUUCUGAGUUGAGAACCAGCAUGAGGAGAGGGAUCGUGGCCCAGGGAAAGGAUCAGUUUCCCUAAUGCACCAGUCCCCAAAUCCUGAAAUGCAGAGCUUCUGGAAUGACUGAGUUGGAAGAUAUUGCUCAGUGUAUUUUAUUUUAUUUUUUGGUUAUUAAUUUAUUUAUUUUGAGACAGAGUCUCACUCUGUUGCCUGGUCUGGAGUGCAGUGGCACGACCUCGGCUCACUGCAAACCUCCUCCUCCCAGGUUCAAGCAAUUCUUGUGCCUUAGCCUCCUGAGUAGCUGGGAUUACAGGCAUGCACCACUACACCCAGGCAUUUUUUUCUAUUUUUAGAAAAGACAGGGUUUCACAGUGUUGGCCAGGCUGGUCUUGAACCCCUUGCUUCAAGUGAUCCUCCUGCCUCGGCCUCCCAAAGUGCUAGGAUUACAAGCGUGAGCCACCACACCCAGCCCCUGCUCAGUGUAUUUUAGAUCAGAAAAGUCUUCCACUGUGGCCCACCCCCAUCCUCAUCCCAAACCUGGACCUAGGUCCUUCCAGGGUCAUAGCUGGCCAUGCAGGAUGAAGAAGAGGUAGCUGCAUGGGACAAAGUCUGCUUGUGAGCCCAGAGGCAUGGGUCCCCAGGCCCACCUCCAGCCCAGACCUGGGGCCUGGCCCGGGAGCCCCCAUGGGAGGUGAAGAAGAGAAUCAUCACAGCAGGCAUUUCUUCCUCUCUGACCACGUGGGGCCUGUUUCCUGAAAAGGCCAUAUAUGCAAAUUGGCCCCCAAAUGCAGAGGGAGCCAAGAAACCAAAGAAAGAGGCAGACAAAUCCAGUUUCUCAGUAAAGGGUGACUUAUGAGGGGGAACUUAACAAACAGAAGUGUGGUCUCGGGCAGCCACAAGGCAGUAGAUCUCUGCAGCACAACCACACAGACCCGCAGAUUGGGGGAAAAGUAUACGUGCUCUGGAAGGAAUGUGUAGGUGGCUGCAGGCGUCACAGCCUAUCGUGUAUGCAACACCAAGGGUUGUUUUGGAGGAAAGGCUGGUGAAGAGGUGUUUCUACAUAAAGAGCAAUACAUCAACUCGACAUCUUGGAGGCAUUCCCGGACUUGGGUUAGUCAGGAGUCACAUGCUGGAUUAGGAUUUAAAAUAAAGUCGCUCUUAUCCCCACAGGGUCCUCAGAGAAUCCUAGGAGGCCAAUCCUUCCUGAGUCCCCACUUUAUGAAUGAGGAAACUGAGGCACAGAGAGAGGCAAUGUAACUUGCUCAGGAUUACCCAGCUGUCAACGACUGGGUGAGAGAUCCAGUCACUCAUGCCACUGCACACCCCACACUCUGGCUUGCGAUAAGAUGCAUCAUCUUGCCUGGGAGUGUUUCUGAGCAAGCCUGCCCAGAGGCCAGGAGCAGAGCUUGGUGUGCAGGUCACCUUACAGUGGGCCGCCGGCAGCCGGGUAUCUUACCAAUCAGAGAAGCCCCUCAUGUGCCUGGGAGGAGCAGGUGGCAGGUUGGACGGGGGACCAGGGGUGGUCCUGCAAGGCUACCUCCUUCCAAAUACCCACCUUCCUCAAUAGGUCACCAGGGCUGACACUGGACCCCUGGGCUCCAACUGUGUGGACAGGUGGGUCCAACUGUGUGGACAGGACUGUGUGGACAGCACUCCACUGUGCUAGUGAGGGUAACAGCUGGCUGUGUCCUAGAUGGUGGAGCCUGGUGUUCCCUGUCGGGGAGGCUGCUUCCUGUCACCCUUGGUUCUCGAGGCUCCCCAGAUGGUCUCCGUCCCCCUGGGAACACUGCGUGUGCUCCAUUGCUUCUGGCCAUGCCUUUAGCAGGUACACUUCCUUCUGGCCCCAAACCCCAGCUGGGUCCCUUCCCUUGUCCCUCCCAAAGCAGCCAUCCCUAAGCUGCCUUCAUUUUGUGCCUGUGGAGGGCCUUCCCCUACCCUGUUUUUUUUUGGCCUCUCCUUGCUGUGAUCCACCUCACUCCCCUUUCUGGGUUCCCAGGCUGCCCCACUGCCUGGAGAUGAGACCCAUUUUAUUUAUUUAUUUAUUUAUUUAUUUAUUUAUUUAUUUAUUUGAGAGGGAGUCUCACUCUGUCACCAGGCUGGAGUACAGUGGCACAACCUCGGCUCACCGCAAUCUCCGACUCCCUGGUUUAGGCAAUUCUACUGCCUCAGCCUCCUGAGUAGCUGGGAUUACAGGCAUCCGCCACCACGCCCAGCUAAUUUUUGUAUUUUUAGUAGAGACAGGGUUUCACCAUGUUGGCCAGGAUGGUCUCAAUCUCCUGACCUCGUGAUCCGCCCACCCUCGGCCUCCCAAAGUGCUGGGAUUACAGGUGUGAGCCACCGCGCCCAGCCGGAGACCCAUUUAUUACUUAAGCUAAUGCAACUUACACAAGUUAAAGGUGCAUCAUUCCAGAAUCUGGUCCCCACUGCCCUCCUCCCAACUCCACCUUCCAGAGGGGAUGAAGGCUGGUGUUGGGGGAGUAGCCCACCCAUUCAAGCAGACUGGCUGGGGUUAGGGCGGGUGCUCUGUGGAGAAGCCUGGGAUUCAGCAGUUUCUGUACCACAGAGCCGAGAGGGGCAAGUCCCUAAGCAUAAAAGCCCUUCCGAGCAAUUAAACGGGAGAGGAAAUCAGUGCUUCCCUGGGGUACCAGCAGAGGCUGCCGGGCCUAUUGCUGAACUAGGUUUCAUAAAGAGAAGAGCUUUCCUUUUCUCAUGUCUGAAUUGUGAGGCUCAUUCCUCAGCCAGACAUCGCUUCUGAGAGCUCCAUUAGCAAGCCCUGCCUGCUACCAGCUUCCCCUUCCUCUAACACCCUGAGUCUCUCUCAAUUGUAACAUUUGUAUACCAUGCCACUCCUUUGCAGGGGCCACGGGGACCCUUCACCCACAGAAGGCUCACUGAAAGUCGACAGACAAAGGCAGACUGAUAGGGGAAAAGGCAUACAUGUUUAUUCAUAUGAAUGGGGCGGCUGGGAGGAGCAACAGAGUGAGGGGUGCAGAAGCUUUUCUACCCUUUUUCAUAGGGGAGGGUGGAGAUAAAGGAUGUAGGGAUUUUUUUUUUUUUUUUUUUUUUUUUUUUUGUGAGACGGAAUCUCACUCUGUUGCCCAGGCUGAAGUGCAGUGGCACAAUCUCGGCUCACUGCAACCUCCACUUCCUGGGUUCAAGCGAUUCUCCUGCCUCAGCCUCCCAAGUAGAUGGGAUUACAGGCACAUGCCACCACGCCGGGCUAAUUUUUGUAUUUUUAGUAGAGACCGGGUUUCACCAUGUUGUUCAGGCUGGUCUCGAACUCCUGACCUCAGGUGAUCCCCUCCCACCCCCCAACCUCGGCCUCACAAAGUGCUGGGAUUACAGGCGUGACUCACCGUGCCUGGCCUGUAGGGGAUUUUUAGAGGAGCAGUACUUGAAUAUGAGGGAGAAUAAAAUCAACUUGUAAAUGAUUCUCCUAUUUGUAUAGUGCUGAGUAUCCCCACCUGUUAAAACAAUUAAAAUAAAAGACACUAACUUGUAAAGGGUUCUCUUUGGAGUUUGAAUGGGCCCGAGAGGCAAACAUUAUCUUGUGGAGCAAAAUAUAAGCUCUCAAAGAAAGGAAAAAUAGUUGAUGUUUUUAUACCAUCUUGAAAUUACAGAAAAAAUAAGGGCUUGGAUCUCAGCAAAAGAGGUUAUGGAAGGGAAGAGGAGGAAACCUUGCAGGUAGCAGUCCUCAGGAUAGAUGGGAAAUGUUUCUUUCAGGCUUUAAAGGCGUCCGACUUAGUUAACCUUUCCUAGAUCCGGACCAAGGAAGGCCUCAGAGAAAGCUGGACUGCAUCAAUGCAGGUUUCCCUACAGAAGCAAAUCUCCCCAACAAAAGAUAGUUUUCUGGCUGGGCGUGGUGGCUCACACCUGUAAUCCCAGCACUUUGGGAGGCCGAGGCAGGCUGGAUCACGAGGUCAGGAGUUCAAGACUACCCUGGCCAACAUGGUGAAACCCUGUCUCUACUAAAAAUACAAAAAUUAGCUGGGUGUGGUGGCGGUCGCGUGUAAUCCCAGCUACUUGGGAGGCUGAGGCAGGAGAAUUGCUUGAACCCGGGAGGCUGAAGUUGCAGUGAGCCGAGAUCAUGCCAUUGCACUCCAGCUCUGGGCAACAGAGCAACGCUCUGUCUGAAAAAAAAAGUUUUCUGGCUAUUCUUACAGCUCCAUCCCUUCCAGAUAGCAAUCUCGAAAUGUGUCAAAGAUGUAUAUUUUGGGGUGAAAUAUCUCGGUUUCUUUCACCCUCCAGUCUAUCGUCUGCUCAGCAGCCCACAGCAAUAUGUAUUGCAGACUUGAUUGGCACUACUGGGGGCACUUCACGAAUUUCUUCCCUGCUGAGGCCCCAGCUCCUUCACUGGCCAUCAUCUGGCCACUGCCUCCCUCUCCAGCCUCUUCCUGGCCCUUCCCUCUUGCACCCUUCCUUGCUGAGCAGCACCGUCUCGCCUGCUUUUCAAACACCGUGUCCUUUGCAAAGGCUCUUCCCUCUGCCUGGAAUGCCCCCUCUGGCAAAUUCCUAUUCAUCCUUCAGUACCCAGCUGAGACACAACUCCCCCUCCCACAACUGUUAUACCCAAAUAAUCCGGUUGCAAAACUAAAUAAUUCAAAUUUAAGAUAAUUUGAAUUUACUGCUGUUGGAACUUAAAUUUUCCUAAGCCUCGAAGAAAUGUGACUAUGCAGCCUGCGUCACACUCAUGCAGCUGCAACUUUUACCCUUUUUUUUCUGUAAAUAAUUAUGACCAAAUGGCGCCAGAGAUAAGACCUCCCUCAGAUCACUACCCCUCCUUACAGAGUAAUAAAGUAAUCUUGCUGGGAAUGUAGCAACUUGUAACCAACUAAAUCACUGUGGCAUAUGCACCUGGUCUUGCAUGGAAAAUGCUGUAACCCUACUGGAACUUCUCCGUCUCUGGAAGUGACAGAUUUCACUCUGGAAGUGAAAUCUUAACUCCUCCACUUUGGGAACAUUGACUCCAUUCAUCUAGAGUCGGUGCCUUCCUGGGUGGCCAUACCCAAGCUUUGUGCUCAAAUAAACUCUGCACUUGAUCAUA